GAAACUCAGCCACCUGGGGUGACCAGAAAGCAUGACCCUGAAAAGGAGGACACUUGGGUCCAAAAAGGAGGACAAUCCCAAGAAGUUGUUGAUCGGGGGGAUGGGGGCCAUUGGAAGGGUCAAAAAUGAGGACAAAAGGGCGAAAAGGAGGACGCAACAUCGGCCCAGACAAACGGCUGGAAAAUCGGACUGUCCCGCCGACAUCCGGACAUCUGGUCAACCUAUUUGCAGGACGAUUGAGGCGUCUGAGAGACCAGAGAGGUAAUGUUAGACCAGAGAGUAAGCUUAAUGAACUGCUGGUUAUGGAAAUAUCAAUUAAAUGAGCAGAUCAUUAGUGUCUUCAAUUUCCAUUUGUUUGUAUUGCUUAAAGAUCAUUUUAGCUGCAUGAGUAGGCUGGAUAGUAGGUGCUGUACACCUGCAAAUACUGUAUGGGUUUUGUUAAUGGUCUCCCUCAGUGUUGGUUCUGUAGAUAGAUGUGGAGGGUAGUUAGAGGGUAGGUAGUUAUGGAGGGUAGUUAGAGGGUAGGUAGUCAGGUUCUAGGUAGAUGUGGAUGGUAGUCAGGGUGUAGGUAAUCAGUGUGUAGAUAGGUGUGGAGAUUAUUCAGGGUGUAGGUAGGUGUGUUGGGUAGUCAGAUUGUAGGUAGUCAGUGUGUAAGUGGCUAUGGAGAGUAGUCAGGGUGUAGGUAGUCAGGGUGUAGGUAGUCAGGGUGUAGGUAGCUAUGGAAAGUAGUCAGAGUGUAGGUAGACAGGUUCUAGGUAGAUAUGGAGGGUAGUAAGGGUGUAGGUAGGUGUGGAGAGUAGUCAGGGUGUAGG